rnacentral:rRNA from 1 species
UACGGAGGGGGCUAGCGUUGUUCGGAAUUACUGGGCGUAAAGCGCGCGUAGGCGGACCUGCAAGUCGGGGGUGAAAGCCCGAGGCUCAACCUCGGAACUGCCUUCGAUACUGCGGGUCUCGAGUCCGGGAGAGGUGAGUGGAAUUCCUAGUGUAGAGGUGAAAUUCGUAGAUAUUAGGAAGAACACCAGUGGCGGAGGCGGCUCACUGGCCCGGUACUGACGCUGAGGCGCGACAGCGUGGGGAGCAAACAGG